GCGUGGUCCAGUGAUUAAGACACCAGGCUAAUGACUUGAGUGUCGUAGGUUCAAGCCC
rnacentral:tRNA from 11 species